rnacentral:rRNA from 1 species
UACGUAUGGCGCAAGCGUUGUCCGGAAUUAUUGGGCGUAAAGAGCUCGUAGGCGGCCUGUUGCGUCCGCUGUGAAAUCCCGGGGCUUAACCCCGGGCUUGCAGUGGAUACGGGCAGGCUGGAGGCAGGCAGGGGAGAACGGAAUUCCCGGUGUAGCGGUGAAAUGCGUAGAGAUCGGGAGGAACACCAGUGGCGAAGGCGGCUACCUGGACCAGCACUGACACUGAGGCACGAAAGCGUGGGGAGCAAACAGG